rnacentral:rRNA from 1 species
CCUACGGGAGGCAGCAGUGGGGAAUCUUGCACAAUGGAGGAAACUCUGAUGCAGCGAUGCCGCGUGAGUGAAGAAGGCCUUUGGGUUGUAAAGCUCUUUUGUAGGGGAAGAUAAUGACUGUACCCUAAGAAUAAGGUCCGGCUAACUUCGUGCCAGCAGCCGCGGUAAUACGAAGGGACCUAGCGUAGUUCGGAAUUACUGGGCGUAAAGCGCGCGUAGGCCGUUGAGUUAGUUAAUUGUGAAAUCCCAAAGCUUAACUUUGGAACUGCAAUUAAAACUGCUCGACUAGAGUUUGAUAGAGGAAAGCGGAAUACAUAGUGUAGAGGUGAAAUUCGUAGAUAUUAUGUAGAACACCAGUUGCGAAGGCGGCUUUCUGGAUCAACACUGACGCUGAGGCGCGAAAGUAUGGGUAGCAAAGAGGAUUAGAUACCCUCGUAGUCCAUACCAUAAACGAUGAUUGCUAGAUGUUGGAAAUUUAUUUUACAGUAUCGCAGCUAACGCAUUAAGCAAUCCGCCUGGGGAGUACGACCGCAAGGUUAAAACCUCAAAGGAAUUGACGGCUGNGAGUGCGAGCGACACGAGGAGAGG